rnacentral:misc_RNA from 1 species
AUCAGGACUUGAAAUAGCUGAAACUCACCCGCCACUUGAUUAUAUUGAUGUUGAUGGGAUCCUUGAUAGUCGUACUUUUGCAGUUCUUGGGCUUUCCAGUAUUGCCAGUGGAGUAUUUCCCAGGAAAGGCAAAGCUGUCCAACAUAUAUGGUGUCAAAAUCACUAUGCAUAUCUGCAAAGAUUUUUUUCAUCGGAUUAACUACGGCAGUCCCUUUGCAUGACCACAAGUU